rnacentral:rRNA from 1 species
CCUUAGAGUUUGAUCCUGGCUCAGGAUGAACGCUGGCGGCGUGCCUAAUACAUGCAAGUCGAACGAAUCUCUUUUAGAGAUGAGUGGCGAACGGGUGAGUAAUACAUAGGUAACCUGCCCCUGUGCGGGGGAUAACAGGAGGAAACUCCUGCUAAUACCGCAUAGCCAUGAGCACCGCAUGGAGCUCAUGCCAAAUAUCCUUUCGGGGAUAGCGCAGGGAUGGACCUAUGGCGCAUUAGCUGGUUGGCGGGGCAACGGCCCACCAAGGCAACGAUGCGUAGCCGGCCUGAGAGGGCGGACGGCCACAUUGGGACUGAGACACGGCCCAGACUCCUACGGGAGGCAGCAGUAGGGAAUUUUCGGCAAUGGGGGAAACCCUGACCGAGCAACGCCGCGUGAGCGAAGAAGGCCUUCGGGUCGUAAAGCUCUGUUGUAAAGGAAGAACGGCGCAUACAGGAAAUGGUAUGCGAGUGACGGUACUUUACCAGAAAGCCACGGCUAACUACGUGCCAGCAGCCGCGGUAAUACGUAGGUGGCGAGCGUUAUCCGGAAUCAUUGGGCGUAAAGAGGGAGCAGGCGGCCGCAAGGGUCUGUGGUGAAAGACCGAAGCUAAACUUCGGUAAGCCAUGGAAACCGGGCGGCUAGAGUGCGGAAGAGGAUCGUGGAAUUCCAUGUGUAGCGGUGAAAUGCGUAGAUAUAUGGAGGAACGCCAGUGGCGAAGGCGACGGUCUGGGCCGCAACUGACGCUCAUUCCCGAAAGCGUGGGGAGCAAAUAGGAUUAGAUACCCUAGUAGUCCACGCCGUAAACGAUGGUCACUAAGUGUCGGGGGUCAAACCCCGGUGCUGCAGUCAACGCAAUAAGUGACCCGCCUGAGUAGUACGUUCGCAAGAAUGAAACUCAAAGGAAUU